CACUUCCUCCGGAAGUCAGAAGAGCCUCUCUCUCCGCUUGGCUCGUUGGUGAUGCUGUUGCCAAGCUGGUAGUCUGGUAGUUCUUCUCCUAGGCGCUGGCGCGCGAUCCCACUGAAACAAGAAAAGUCGGUGUUCAUGCUGCCAGUCACAACCAAAACCAAUGAGCAGAGACAAGGUUUGAAUCUUUAUGGGUGCUUUAUUCAGAUGCCAGUGAUCUGAGAAGACGGCUGGUUAUAUAUCCUCAAAAACCAUCUUAACAUUUCAUCUCAAGCCAACCUUUUUAUAAGGAAAAGAAGAGUAGGUGUGGUGGAACCUCACUGUAUCCUGCUGCCAGAGACCCCACAACUUCCCCUUCCCUCUCUAUUGCUAAACCUGUUUGGAGGUUAUGGAUGAUAAGCCCAGUUCUGGAACCAUAAGUGAGAGUUCAGAACUUCUUUUCUCCUUCGGAGUUAUAGCAGAUAUUCAGUAUGCUAAUUUAGAAGACGGCUAUAAUUACCAAGGAAACAGAAGAAGAUACUACAGACAUAGUCUUGUUCACUUACAGGAUGCUAUUGAACACUGGAAUAAAGAAAGCAGCCGGCCCUGUUGUGUGCUUCAGCUGGGAGAUAUCAUUGACGGCUAUAAUGCGCAGUAUAAAGCAUCAGAGAAGUCACUAGAACUUGUUAUGAAUGUGUUUCAAAUGCUUCAAGUCCCAGUUCAUCACACAUGGGGAAAUCAUGAAUUCUAUAACUUCAGCAGAGAGUAUUUAACAAACUCUAAACUGAACACAAAGUUUCUAGAAGACCAGAUUGUACAUCAUCCUGAGACUGUGCCUACAGGGAGUUAUUAUGCUUACCAUUUUGCUCCGUUCCCUAAAUUCCGGUUCAUUUUACUUGAUGCUUAUGACUUGAGUGUCUUGGGCGUGGAUCAGACUUCUCCAAAAUACCAGCAGUGUCUGAAGAUGCUGAAGGAGCACAAUCCAAAUAUGGAAUUGAAUAGUCCUCAAGGGCUUUCUGAGCCUCAGUUUGUCCAGUUUAAUGGAGGAUUCAGCCAAGAACAGUUGAACUGGUUGAAUGAAGUCCUUACAUUCUCGGACAGAAACCAAGAGAAGGUGGUGAUCGUGAGUCAUCUUCCCAUUUACCCAAAUGCCUCUGACACCGUGUGCCUGGCCUGGAAUUACAGAGACGCCCUCGCAGUCAUUUGGUCUCACAAGUGUGUGGUGUGUUUCUUCGCCGGUCACACUCACGAUGGCGGCUACUCCGAGGACCCUUUCGGUGUGCACCACGUCAAUGUGGAAGGAGUCAUUGAGACAGCCCCGGACAGCCAGGCUUUCGGCACCGUUUAUGUCUAUCCAGACAGGAUGGUGUUGAGAGGGAGUGGCCGAGUCACAGACAGGAUUAUGAAUUACAAGAGCGAAAAACCUUUUCCAUUUUCUGUCUGAUUCAUUUUAUCAUUAUAGGAAGAGGAUGACUUUGGUUGUGUUUUUGUUCCCCUUUCCUACCCUGAAAUCCUCAGUGUCCUUCUUUAUUAUCCCAUCGGCAUACCAAAGCAUGUUCACAACUUCAGUGUGUAUCAGCUUGUGAGACAUCUGAAUGUCAUCUCUCGACCGUAAAUCCAGUGCUGAAAUUGGAAAAGAUGAAUGAACGUGAAUGUGCGCCCUCCCAUGGGAGGCUGUGAGAAGGACCUUUGAAGGUAUGUGGUCCUUUUGUGACUCCAACCAAAGCAGAAGCAAGUGCCAUGUAGCUGUGUGCCUGCUCCCUUUGGGCCACUAGCUAGUGCUGGUGAGGACUGCAGCCAAGUGAAUUUACCUGACUUCCUUCGUAGAUGCAUGGGACCUGUUAAUGCUGUUGCCAUGUGUGCUAAGGCUUAUUCUCAGAAACACACACUAGAUGGCAAAUGGGGACUGUUGAAGCAUAGAGAAAGUUUGAUUUAGGGCUUAAAAACAGUAGGAGAUAAAUUGAUACUAGUCAACAUGAGUGAGUGUGCCUGCUGCGUAUCUAGGCAUAAUGGGCAUAUUCAUUGUCUUGGCUACUGUGACAAAUUACCACACACUUGGUGGCUUAAGUAACACAUAUUUGUUCUCUUACAGUUCUGGAGUCAGAUGUCGGACAUUACUGUCACUGGUCUGAGAUCAAGGUGGUGUUAGGGCGUGCUCUCUCGGGGCUGGGCAGGGGCUGUUUCCUUCCCUUUUCCAGCUUCUGGAGCUGCAUUUCUUGCUUGGCCCCUUCUUCUGUUGUCAAAGCCAGCAAGGUAGCGUUUUCAAACCUCUUUCUGCUUUGUUGUCACAUCACCUUUUCCUCUUCUGUCUGUGUAGUCGUCUUUGUGUCUCCUCUCUCUUUCCCACAAUUCUGAUCACAUUGAGGGCCCACCAGGUGAUCCAGGAUCAUCUCAUCUCCAGAGCCUCAACCUGAUCACAUCUGUGAAGUCCAUUUUGCUGUAUAAGGUAACAUUCAUACACUCUGGGGAUUAGGGCCUGGACCUUUGAGGGCUGUUGUUCAGUUUACCAGAGAGGUGGCUGUGUAAUCUGCUCCCUGCACUCGCCAACUUUGGUGGUGAGGAGACAGAUCCCUAGGUACAAAUGUGUGAAGACAGGACUGUGCGAAUGUGGAGCAGUAAUUUAAGUCUGUUUGCAGGGAUUAGGGAUGACUUGAAGAAGAAAGAAGAAUGGUUUAAAUGGGUGUGGAAGUAUAUUUCAAGUAGACAGAGUAGCAUAAGCAGAGGCAUGGAAGGAUAUGCAGAAUUUAGGAGAGGCAAGUAAUGCUAUGAUGAAUCUCCAAAAGUAAUAAAGCAGGAAAGGUUAAGCUUGGGCUACGUGGAAAAAAGGCAUGAAUGACCAGCCCAGGUUUGGGAUUAAUCCCUCGGGCUCCUGCGCUGGGCACUGUGUGAUGAGACUUGUGUCUCAGUCCAGGCCGUGGCUACUGUGAGGCUGGUGUAGAAGAGUAACAAUGGCAGAAAAAGAUUGGGGGUGAGAAGCAGGCUUUGAUAAUAGAAUAUUAAACUUACUGUAAUACCUAAAUUCACCUGAAAAGGAGAGUUUAAAAACUAUUAAAGGCGGUACCCUCCUUUUAUACACUUACAGAGACUUGAACUGUAUAUUCACAGGAUUCAGUGUGAUGUGGGCAACGCCAGUGUGAUGAAAGUGUCUCAGACAGUAUUUCUGUUUUUCAAAAUGGAACUUUACCAUCUUUUAAGCACAGAAUCAAGCAUUACUUGGAGAAUGGGUAGGUCCUAUACAAAAUAUGCGAUUAAGUCCAUUUCUUUAUACAUGACCUUAAUAGUUAUACUAAAAUGUAUAAAAGCCUAUUAUACAAGCUAAAUAUAUACUGGAACACUAAAAUCCUUUAUUGACCCUUAAAAUAAAUUUUACUUUAAUUGCUUUAAUAUCGACAAGAUUUUUUAUCAUUUCACCUCAUCUAAAUCUUGAUCAAGGAUUUCUGACCAGUGGCUAUUGCAUAAAACAAACAAAACACAUGCAUACCUUCUCCAAACAUUUAUAAUGGAACACUUAAUAGAAAUAUAGGCAAAUUUUUUUAGGCUCAUUUUCACUCUCCUGACAUAUGGUUGGUGCUCAUACUUUUUGAGUGAACUGUUUCUUGAAUUUCAUGAAGCAGUGUCUGGGCUGUGGGGUCGGGUGGCGGCCUGUGUGCAAACGGUGUUCUUGCUCUCCAGAUGCACCGUAGCAGCGCUGGCCAACAGAAAUACGGUGAGCCCGGCAGUGAUUUUAAAUGGAUUAGCAGUUGCGUUAAAAAGUGAAUAGGAACAGUAAAAGUGAACUUUAAUAGUAUAAUUUAUUUACUGCAGUAUAUCUAAAGUAUUUCAACAUAUAAUCAAAUAUUUUACAUUUUUGAUAUGUCUUUAAAAUCUUGUAUAUAUUUUAUACUUAUCCAUUUGGGCACUAACUUCAUUGGAAACACUUGCUCCGUAUUUAGAUAUAAAAUCUGCAGUUGAAAAAAUUUGCAAUUUUAAAAAAUGUUUAUCGAUUUUGGUCUUAAUUUUUCACUUUCAUUGUAAUAAAUGUUCCUCUUUUUUU